UCCUUGGUGUUCCUGACUGGCCGUUUGA
rnacentral:piRNA from 1 species